GAUGAACGCUGGCGGCGUGCUUAACACAUGCAAGUCGAACGGGAAAUAUUUCAUUGAGACUUCGGUGGAUUUGAUUUAUUUCUAGUGGCGGACGGGUGAGUAACGCGUGGGUAACCUACCUUAUACAGGGGGAUAACAGUCAGAAAUGGCUGCUAAUACCGCAUAAGCGCACAGAGCUGCAUGGCUCAGUGCGAAAAACUCCGGUGGUAUAAGAUGGACCCGCGUUGGAUUAGCUUGUUGGUGAGGUAACGGCCCACCAAGGCGACGAUCCAUAGCCGGCCUGAGAGGGUGAACGGCCACAUUGGGACUGAGACACGGCCCAGACUCCUACGGGAGGCAGCAGUGGGGAAUAUUGCACAAUGGGGGAAACCCUGAUGCAGCGACGCCGCGUGAAGGAAGAAGUAUCUCGGUAUGUAAACUUCUAUCAGCAGGGAAGAUAGUGACGGUACCUGACUAAGAAGCCCCGGCUAACUACGUGCCAGCAGCCGCCGUAA
rnacentral:rRNA from 1 species